CCUACGGGAGGCUGCAGUGGGGAAUAUUGGAUAAUGGGGGCAACCCUGAUCCAGCCAUGCCGCGUGUGUGAAGAAGGCCCUCGGGUUGUAAAGCACUUUCAGUGAGGAAGAACGCCUGGUGGUUAAUACCCAUCAGGAAAGACAUCACUCACAGAAGAAGCACCGGCUAACUCCGUGCCAGCAGCCGCGGUAAUACGGAGGGUGCGAGCGUUAAUCGGAAUUACUGGGCGUAAAGCGCGCGUAGGUGGCUUGAUAAGCCGGUUGUGAAAGCCCCGGGCUCAACCUGGGAACGGCAUCCGGAACUGUCAAGCUAGAGUGCAGGAGAGGAAGGUAGAAUUCCCGGUGUAGCGGUGAAAUGCGUAGAGAUCGGGAGGAAUACCAGUGGCGAAGGCGGCCUUCUGGACUGACACUGACACUGAGGUGCGAAAGCGUGGGUAGCAAACAGGAUUAGAUACCCUUGUAGUC
rnacentral:rRNA from 1 species